UAUACUUUGAGAUAAAUCCAAAA
rnacentral:snRNA from 1 species